GGCCUCGUAGCUCAGCUGAUAAAACGUGCUAUGUACAGAGGCGUAGGCGGCGUCCAUGAGUGGGUUCGAAUCCCACCGAGGCUA
rfam:Echinostoma caproni strain Egypt genome assembly, scaffold: ECPE_scaffold0000753